rnacentral:rRNA from 1 species
GAUGAACGCUGGCGGCGUGCCUAAUACAUGCAAGUCGAGCGAACGGACGAGAAGCUUGCUUCUCUGAUGUUAGCGGCGGACGGGUGAGUAACACGUGGAUAACCUACCUAUAAGACUGGGAUAACUUCGGGAAACCGGAGCUAAUACCGGAUAAUAUUUUGAACCCAUGGUUCAAAAGUGAAAGACGGUCUUGCUGUCACUUAUAGAUGGAUCCGCGCUGCAUUAGCUAGUUGGUAAGGUAACGGCUUACCAAGGCAACGAUGCAUAGCCGACCUGAGAGGGUGAUCGGCCACACUGGAACUGAGACACGGUCCAGACUCCUACGGGAGGCAGCAGUAGGGAAUCUUCCGCAAUGGGCGAAAGCCUGACGGAGCAACGCCGCGUGAGUGAUGAAGGUCUUCGGAUCGUAAAACUCUGUUAUUAGGGAAGAACAUAUGUGUAAGUAACUGUGCACAUCUUGACGGUACCUAAUCAGAAAGCCACGGCUAACUACGUG